rnacentral:lncRNA from 1 species
UGAAUUUCUUAAAAACUGUAAUUACAUUCUUAUUACAUUCUUAUUAUUAAAUUAGAAAUUAUAUUAUUUGUUUCAUUGUUAAAAUGAAGUACAAUAUCUUGAAUUUGUAAUCAGCCAAAAAUCCAAAAUGGCAGCCUCUUAGUGUGUUUGUUGUAUGAUAGAAUUAGUCUGCUACGCCUACAACUUUACGCCGUUCACGUUUCUUCACACAUAUUCGUACAGUGAAAAUGGCUGAUCCUGGAGAUCGAAAGACGAAAAAGUCUUUUGUUUCACAGGGCAGUUGAAGACUUACCUCGUUGGAAAGCAACUGAGCUUAAGUUGGAUCAAAAUUAUUUAGGACCCGUAGUAUACAAAAAAUACUUGAGCUCCACCAGUUACGACCACUUCAUGCUACUUCACGUGGCAAUAAGGCUGUUGACUAACAGAGAUUCGUGCAGGCGCGAUGCAAAUUAUGCAAAUGAUUUGUUGAGAUUGUUUGUUAGCAAUAGUGCAAAUAUUUAUGGAGAAAAAUUCAUUUCACACAAUGUUCAUUCGCUAAUCCACUUAUCUCAGGACGUGAUGAUACAUGGAUGUUUAGACGACUUUGCAGCAUUUUGCUUUGAAAACAAAUUGCAAACAAUGAAAAACAUGUUUAAAAAAAGUGGUCGGCCUCUUCAACAAAUUGUUAGGAGAUUAGACGAGGAAGCACGCCAUACUUUUAUGAACCAGAACAGUCGACGAUUUGUAGAAGGCUUUAAGCUGGAAAAAUCACAUACAUCUGGUCCCAUAAUCCCUGCGCUCAUUUCCGGGAAACAAUUCAAAUUACUGCUAUUCAAAUAUUCUAAGUUAUCCGUCGCUAUCCCUGAUAAUUGUGUCCUUAUUAAUGGCCCACCAAAAAUGAUCGUUUUGAUUGAUAAUUUUGUAAAAAUGACUGAUGGAAAGAUUUAUGUUGUGGGAAAAAAUUUGAACAACAAGGGGAUUUCUUUACAUACCCGUUAUCAUCCAGUUGUUUAGAUGAAUUUCUUGUCUCUGGUUUGUCCCUCACAAGUGAAUCAUUUUUAUUGUCAUCCGUUCUGUCUAAAUGUAUUCUUCUUCCAACUAGUCUUCCAGAAACAGGGUCGUUUUUCGCAUCUGCCAUAAUUAAUAUGAAUGUGAAUUGAUUUCGUGUAAUUAUUAUCAAAAUCAAUACAUGGAUAGUCCCUUGUUUGUACGGCAAUCAGAAAUUAAUUUAUUCAAAUCAGUACCCAUAAAUGAAUCGACUAUUGUUGUCCAUCCAUCUCGGAUACACAAAAUUUGUGAUUUAUAUCCUAGUUAGUACAUAGUACGGACAUACUUCGUCGAUAAUCUGCGAUAUCAUUAUCUCAUUCCAAUUGCAUUCGAAAAAAUACAUAAAUUAGACAUCCGUUUUCUAUUCGACUCGGACAAGGCCAUUUUAAAAUCAGAUCCCAUUUUAUAUAUUGUCUGGAUAUUCCUCUCCCAUGACUAUUGGAUGUAUACGCUUUAUUCAAAUAGCAGCCGAAUUUUUACCAAAAAGGGACAUACCUAGUUCAUCCGUGUAGGAAUAGUUCAUUUAUUCAAAUCUUAUCCCAAUCUUUAUAUGGAAGGGACGUACCAUCUCGGUUGGUAAUGAUUAACCCAACUUGGUACAUCUAACGAAUGUUAAAAGCAUAUACAAAUCAUGUACCAUCUGGGAUGGCAAUCUUUAACCCGACUUGGUACAUAUAACGAAUGUUAUAAGGAUAUUCGACUCGGAUAACUUCACCUUUUCCAAAAACCAUCCCAAUAUUGACGUAUUAUUAACGUACUCUGAUCAUCCCAUCGCCGACGUACUGGAUCGGGAUGUGUUUAUGUUGUUGGGACGUCCCAAGGAUGAGGCGUGCCAGUA